AAUUUUGGACAAUGGGGGCAACCCUGAUCCAGCCACCCCGCGUGUUCGAUGAAGGCCNNNUGGUUNUCAAGCACUUUUGGCAGNGACNAAAAGGCUUUGGCUAAUACCUGAAGCUGCUGACGGUCCUUCCAUAAUAAUCACCUGCUAACUACGUGCCAGCAGCCGCGGUAAUACGUAGGGUGCAAGCGUUAAUCGGAAUUACUGGGCGUAAAGCGUGCGCAGGCGGUUCGGCAAGAAGGAUGUGACAUCCCAGGGCUUAACCUUGGAACUGCAUUCUUAACUGCCGGGCUAGAGUAUGUCAGAGGGGGGUAGAAUUCCGCGUGUAGCAGUGAAAUGCGUAGAGAUGCGGAGGAAUACCGAUGGCGAAGGCAGCCCCCUGGGAUAAUACUGACGCUCAUGCACGAAAGCGUGGGGAGCAAAC
rnacentral:rRNA from 1 species